AUAUAUAUAUAUAUAUAUAUAUACAUACAUACAUAAAAAUUGUUGUAAUAACAUCGUUUGCCCUUUGGGUGGCACUGCACCACUUGCAAUGCAUCCCCACUACAUUCAAGUUUUACCCUUUCUUCCUUUCAUUAAUAUUCGUGAGACAUAAAUGACUGUUGGUAAUCUUGUUUAAAAAGGUGUAAGAUUUCCCUCCUAGUUGUGUAUAAUACAAUGCGUUCAAACUAUGACAUACUGUGCUAUUAUGAUACGUGAAUAAAAAUGCAAGCUUUUGUAGCAUGACCCCAAAUAAAUACGGAAGUUGUCACCGACCUAGCGUGUGGGCGUGAGGCGUCGCCUUCAUGGUUCACCUGUCUGCUCCGUGUCUGCUUUCAGAGGGAGGUCCCAACACGCUCCUUCCCCGUCAUAAUAAAGUCGCCUUGGGACGCCUCAUUGGGGAGUGAAUGAAUCAAACGGGCCCUCGAGGGAUCGCUAUAAUGCUGCGAGUACCCGCUUGUUGGGAUGUGAGGGAUUUUGACGAUACCUGCAUGCGACUUGUCCAGGGUGUAUGCAGCUGGGAAAGGCUACGGCCACCCCCCGCGACACCGAGAGGGACAAAAUGGAUGAAUGGAUGUCAUUUAUCAACAUAUUGUACA